CGUGCCGGCUACACCUACAGUUAUAAAUGAUGACACCCUCCCCUGGCUGCCCGACCGCGGAAGGGGGACCUGGGCUCUCUGGGGCUCCAACUCGUCUGUUCUUUUGAAGCUCUGUUUGUACAACACGCUUCAUCAUCUCGUGGGGCAGAGCUUUGCGAACGAAGGCACAGAAUGACCCGAGAAGGCUUGCUGAGAGGCAGGUGUGAACGUAGCACGUCUGAGCAGCUCCCAGGACAUGCUGACACUCGGGGUCAAUGGAGCGCCAGCCUCGAAUCGCAAGGCUCUGUGAGAUUCGGGACACCCCUGUGUGGCCCCUGCUCAGGGACAGCUUGGACAGACUGCAAACAGGCAACACAGACGGGGCGGCACAGGAAGCCCUGGGGAAGCCUCGGGAUUCCUGGCAGCAGAUAAGGACCAGGUAGCCUCCCACGUCAUGUUACCAAAAUCCCGUUUUGAAAAGAACAGCAAGAAGCUUACCUUGAGCCGCUAUGAAUUUAUUCUUCUCCUUGUAACCCUAGAAACAUAAAAUCAGCAUUAAACACGGCACCUGACACGACCGGGUCUUGCGUGGCGAUCACCGGGACAGAGGACGCGUCCUUUUCAAUGUCCUCAUGAGACCCUCUGUGUCAUGAGGAUGGGAAUACACCUGUUUCACUGAAUGAGCACUGCACCUCAGCACUGAGGACAGUGCCCGGCCCUAACCAGGUGUCCGGUAAGACCUGUGGGCUGACAGCAGAGGCAUGAAUUUCAGCGUCCAGGAGUGGGGGCUGCUGGGCCUCACAUAGAAACAGAACAGCAGCACGUGCUGGGGCCCCGCAGUGAGAUCACCAUAUUCUCCGAAACCCCAGCUGGGCCCCCAUCCUAACAAGGCCCUUGCACACUGAGGAGAGCCCCGGACGGAAGGGCUGGGGUCCACGCUCCCGGGCUUUCCAGGGAAGGGACAAGCUGACUCCACACCCCGAUCCCCAUCCUUCCAGUCGGCCCUAGGGCUGGAAGGUGGGCGGAACUCACGCUGACCUGAGCUGGGCCUGGCGGGCCACCUGCCUGGAAGAUUCUGGCCUGCUGUACAAGCAACUCUCUAGCGAGGGGGCUGACCACAGAGAGCUCUGUGUGGGUGUGUGACGUGUGCUUCCUCCAUGUGGGGGCGGGUGGUGUGCAGGUGUGUGUGGUAGGUGGGGGUGCGGUGUGUGUCUUCUCUGUGUGCGUGGGUCUGGCGUGUAUGUGUUUGUGGAGUGUGUGUGUGUGUGUGUGUGUGUGUGUGCGCACAUUUGGGGAAGUUUCAACCAGGGCCCCCACUGUGACCUUGGUGGGUCCUUGUCACUCCUGCCUUCAUGGGCCCCUUCCUCCAUAAAAGAAAAAAGUAAACACUUUAUUUUACAACUGUGUUAUUAGUUAGUAUAAAGCUUACCGUAACCAGACUGGA